rnacentral:miRNA from 1 species
UAAGUGAAUUGUUUUGUGUAGA